rnacentral:tRNA from 1 species
CCGAUGUAGCUCAGUUGGUUAGAGCGUUUCACUCAUAAAGAAAAGGUCACAGGUUCAAUUCCUGUCAUCGGC